rnacentral:lncRNA from 1 species
AAAAACGUCUUCUGCAGCCACCAGAAGGAUGGAGAUAAUAAAAAGUGAUGGAUAUCAGCAGCUCCCUCUGCUUGGAUUGAUUGCUGUGAAGUCCUUGGAAAGAAAACACCAUAGGGGAUUUGUUGUGUAUGUAUGUCAGGUACUUGUACCCAGCAAUGAAAAAAACAAUCAAUGCAAGAACAAAUGUAAGAAGAA